rnacentral:rRNA from 1 species
GUGUCAGCAGCCGCGGUAAUACAGAGGGUGCGAGCGUUGCUCGGAAUCACUGGGCGUAAAGCGCGUGUAGGCGGCCCGUUAAGUCUGAUGUGAAAGCCCGGGGCUCAACCUCGGAACUGCCUUUGAUACUGGCGAUCUUAGAGUCCGGGAGAGGUGAGUGGAACUCCGAGUGUAGAGGUGAAAUUCGUAGAUAUUCGGAAGAACACCAGUGGCGAAGGCGGCUCACUGGCCCGGUACUGACGCUCAGGUGCGAAAGCGUGGGGAGCGAUCCGGAUUAGAUACCCCAGUAGUCC